rnacentral:rRNA from 1 species
GAUCAUGGCUCAGGAUGAACGCUGGCGGCGUGCUUAACACAUGCAAGUCGAGCGAAGCACUUUACUUGGAUUUCUUCGGAAUGACGAGUAUUGUGACUAAGCGGCGGACGGGUGAGUAACGCGUGGGUAACCUGCCUCAUACAGGGGGAUAACAGUUAGAAAUGACUGCUAAUACCGCAUAAGACCACAGCACCGCAUGGUGCAGAGGUAAAAACUCCGGUGGUAUGAGAUGGACCCG